UCAAACAGACACACGGCGCACAAAAGAAAACCUCAUCACCAAGGGAAACUAAUCCACCGGUGCGCAAUGUAAGCCUGUCAACUUUUUAUUAUAAGAAGUCAUCACUCAUUUCAGUGAAGAUUAAAAGUAUGACUAAAUUGAGAAAAUCCUCUUAGCCAUUUGGAAUUUUAAUAGAGGAGAAAAGGGGUACAGGAUUUGCAACCCUCUGUCUCUAUACCACCUUAUUUCUGUCUACCUGGAGGCCUGUGGAAUCAGUAUGGAGAGUGAAAGUCACUGCUGGGUAUCAAAAUAUUUUAUCAAUAGCUAUUUCAUCCAUAAGAAGCCUCUCCAGGAAAACAGAAACCAUCUCAAUUACUCCAACACAAGAAAUGUAAUGUAGUGAAUUGAUUAUACAGUUGGGAGAAGAGCUGAGAAACCAGUCAGGAAAAUGUUAAGACAACCUACAGUAGGAAACCCCUAUUCAGGUGAGAAAGGAGCGGUGGAGUUGCUGCCAAGAGGCCAGGUUCACCUGCGAAUACCUUGGCAAUGGGCCUAUCUAGCAGGAGUAGCAGAAGAAAUGCAAUUUACCCUGGAGAUGACACUUCAAACAGAGAGGAAGGAGAAAACUUUCCACUCAGUAACUGAGUACCAAGGAUGUCCACCAGCUGAAUUUAACUGGGAGUCAACUUAAUGUGGAAUGCUGGGAAAUGACACCUAUAGCUGUCCACCUUUGAAGAUACAGAGCCCAGGAAGGAGAGAAAGAGAACUAUCUUACUGGCAACAGGCUAGGAUCUUUACUAGCUGCCCCUUAUGCUGCUCAGUAUUGACUCUCACCUUUCUACCCAUGUUCACAUCUCAUAGAUUUCAAGCAACAGCAUCAAUGAGUCAACUAAAAAGUGAGUCAACUACCUUGUACAUAAAAACACGUCAUUGUCUUCUUAAACAUGUGCCCUGUUCCACCCUUUGACCCUCAAAUCUCAUUCUUGAUGAAUAGCAUAAAUCCCUCGGUAGCUCAUGGUUAAUGUUGAAAAAGAUUCACAGAGGCCAGAGUCUGCUUUUAAAAGGAGGACAUUUAUAAACGAAAAGAGUUAUGAUUGUAUUCCAGAAUCUCAGAAUGUACAGUGUGAUUUUGCUUUUGAGGCUUUUCAGAGUCUUUAUAUAGCUGAUUUUUUUUAUUACCAACACUUUGAGCAUUUUUGGUAUCUGUUAGAUCUAAAGCCUUAUGUGGCAGAGCAAGUUAUAGUAUAGACCUGUUGGAGAAUCUUCUCCUACUCUGGGCUAAAUUUAAAAGUAGAAAAAUUAGAAAACUUCUAGCUUAUACAGUAAAUGGGUUGGGGAAACACCAACAUGUGUCAUGUGUUUUCUAGAACCAAAUCCAGUGCAGCUUGGAUGCAAGUUAAAAAACCAAGUCGUGGCUAUAGCCAUGAAUUGGGAGGAAAAGGAAGCUAAGAGAAUACAGGAGGCCAAAGAGUGGGUGUGGCUAGCCUAGAUGAGAACUCAAGGUCACUAGAGCUGGUUCAUUCUGCAUUGUUAACAUAAUAAAGUCCAAACUACUUUUACUUUUUCUCCUCCUUCUCCUCUUCCUCCACUUCUCCCUCCUCCUCCUCCUCCUCCUCUUCUUCCUCCUCCUCUUUUUUCUCUUCCUCCUUUUGGCACAGAUUGGACUCAGGAUCAAUUAACCACCAAACCAUUUCCCUAGCCCUUUAAGUUUUUUUUUUUUUUGUCUGAGACAAAGUCUUGCUGAGUUGCUUAGUAACCUUAGUUGGCCUUGGUAACUUGCUAAGGCUGGCCUAUAACUUGCAAUCCUCCUGCCUCCAGCUUCCGAACCAGUGGGAUUAUAGGCAUGUGCCACAACCCAAGCUUCUUACUGUCACUUACUAUGCCUUCUACCAACUUGUUCAUUUUAGUCCUCUACCUUCAUUUCUCAGUAUUUUUCUUUCAAACUUUGUUCUUCAGUCAUACUGAACCACCUAAAAAUUUCUUCCGUAUGUCAAUUCAUUCUCUCUUUCACGCUGGCCUUCCAGGCUGACUUUGAACCAUAAUCUAUGUCUUUUUUUUUUCUCUAUUUUUUAACUGCCCUUUUUUACUGUCUAAAAAACAUCCACUUAAACCACAGUGCUGGCCAAUAGAUAGAUCUCAUGGCCAAUGAAAAUUCUGAUAAAUUGGCCAAGUGUUUCUGCACAGCUAAAGUUAAAGAGUUUACAGUUAAGUCUAGGAUUGAUUGAAUUAGUAGCAUCCAUCAGGUUGGAAGAAGGGUGGCAAGUAUAAUGUGCAUUUUCCAUCCAUUCUUGCCGACAUUAUACCUUGUCAUAGCCUUCCUUGAUGCUGUGCUGAAUGGGCAAGUGCUUUUCCUAUAUUCUUUUGCACUUCCUUUUCAUAGUCUAUCAUUCCACUUGAGUUGAAUUAUAUUUUCCUGUUUUGUUGUUCUUGUUUUUUGCCUAUUUUCUCAUCAAUGUUUUUUUCUUAAUAUUAAGACACAAUAUUUGUCACAGUGCCUGAUAGUACUCUGCACAUAGGAGGCAGUCUAUGAAUGCUUAUUAACUUAAUAAUAUUACUAAAUUUGAAAUAAUGAGAUUUGGGAUUUGGUUAUUG